GAUUAGAGUUGGUUGGCUGCUGUGAGGGCAAGGAAGAAUCAGUGCCUAGAGGAGCUGCCUACAAGAAAGACCAAGAAGCUCCCAAGGUUCUCCCAAGAAGAAGACAACAUAUGUAUGAUAAAAGACUGGCCUCUUCCAGAUAGCAACAGGAAAAUAGCCUGUGGAAAAUUUUAGAACAGAGGCCCUUAAAGAGAUUGAAAGAGUGUCAGUGGCCUUAUUUUUCAUGCUGCAGAAUCCACAAGAGCUCUGCCAGGGCAGCAGAGCACUGCUGUAUCUAAACCUUCACCGUGAUGUGUAAUCAGUAGGUACAGGCACUGGGAUUUCUCUUUGCUUCUGAGCUUUCUGCUGCACUACAAGUAAGGAGAAAAAGGAGAAGAUAGAAGAAGGCAGUUAACACAAAUAUACAUCCUUGGAAAUGGAAGUGAUACAGCAAAACUCCUCCUGUUUCUCUGCUCUCAGGAAGGACACACCAGGCUGGCUUUGAAGUGUCAGCAGGAUUAGAAGACAGCAGCAUGCCCUUGCUUCCUGAUAAAGAAUCAGCUUAGCCAGCACAAGACUUCAUAUCCGAGCAGCAAGGGCAGCACUUAUUCUUCUGAACUGUUGGUUCAAAUACCACUGUUGAUAAAUAAACUUCGAGCAUGUUUGAAAGCUAUCAGUGAAAAUUUCUCAGGCCAUUAAUGUUCUCCAGUAUAAACUUUGAGCUUCAAUGUAAAAUUAGCAAUGCCUCAGCUGUCUACCCACUACACUGCUCCAUGACUGAUAAAAUUAAUCUGUGAACAUCUUGUACAUACACAUCCUACCCUUGUAAUCCGUUCAUAAAAACACCUUCACAACUGAUAGCCAAG